CACAGCGGGGCGGGGCGCGGGGCUGAGCAGGCGCAAGGGCUGGCUGCUGGGCCGACGAGGGGCGGUGCCAGGCCGUGGGUCCUUAGUCAAGUGACGCGAAGCGGCCGGCCUGGGCGCCGACUGCAGAGCCGGGAGGCUGGUGGUCAUGCCGGGGUUCCUGGUUCGCAUCCUCCCUCUGCUGCUGGCUCUGCUGCUUCUGGGCCCUACGCGCGCCUUGCGCAAUGCCACCCAGAGGAUGUUUGAAAUUGACUAUAGCCGGGACUGCUUCCUCAAGGAUGGCCAGCCAUUUCGCUACAUCUCAGGAAGCAUUCACUACUCCCGUGUGCCCCGCUUCUACUGGAAGGACCGGCUGCUGAAGAUGAAGAUGGCUGGGCUGAACGCCAUCCAGACGUAUGUGCCCUGGAACUUUCAUGAGCCCUGGCCAGGACAGUACCAGUUUUCUGAGGACCAUGAUGUGGAAUAUUUUCUUCGGCUGGCUCAUGAGCUGGGACUGCUGGUUAUCCUGAGGCCCGGGCCCUACAUCUGUGCAGAGUGGGAAAUGGGAGGAUUACCUGCUUGGCUGCUAGAGAAAGAGUCUAUUCUUCUCCGCUCCUCCGACCCAGAUUACCUGGCAGCUGUGGACAAGUGGUUGGGAGUCCUUCUGCCCAAGAUGAAGCCUCUCCUCUAUCAGAAUGGAGGGCCAGUUAUAACAGUGCAGGUUGAAAAUGAAUAUGGCAGCUACUUUGCCUGUGAUUUUGACUACCUGCGCUUCCUGCAGAAGCGCUUUCGCCACCAUCUGGGGGAUGAUGUGGUUCUGUUUACCACUGAUGGAGCACAUAAAACAUUCCUGAAAUGUGGGGCCCUGCAGGGCCUCUACACCACGGUGGACUUUGGAACAGGCAGCAACAUCACAGAUGCUUUCCUAAGCCAGAGGAAGUGUGAGCCCAAAGGACCCUUGAUCAAUUCUGAAUUCUAUACUGGCUGGCUAGAUCACUGGGGCCAACCUCACUCCACAAUCAAGACCGAAGCAGUGGCUUCCUCCCUCUAUGAUAUACUUGCCCGUGGGGCGAGUGUGAACUUGUACAUGUUUAUAGGUGGGACCAAUUUUGCCUAUUGGAAUGGGGCCAACUCACCCUAUGCAGCACAGCCCACCAGCUACGACUAUGAUGCCCCACUGAGUGAGGCUGGGGACCUCACUGAGAAGUAUUUUGCUCUGCGAAACAUCAUCCAGAAGUUUGAAAAAGUACCAGAAGGUCCUAUCCCUCCAUCUACACCGAAGUUUGCAUAUGGAAAGGUCACUUUGGAAAAGUUAAAGACAGUGGGAGCAGCUCUGGACAUUCUGUGUCCCUCUGGGCCCAUCAAAAGCCUUUAUCCCUUGACAUUUAUCCAGGUGAAACAGCAUUAUGGGUUUGUGCUGUACCGGACAACACUUCCUCAAGAUUGCAGCAACCCAGCACCUCUCUCUUCACCCCUCAAUGGAGUCCACGAUCGAGCAUAUGUUGCUGUGGAUGGGAUCCCCCAGGGAGUCCUUGAGCGAAACAGUGUGAUCACUCUGAACAUAACAGGGAAAGCUGGAGCCACGCUGGACCUUCUGGUAGAGAACAUGGGACGUGUGAACUAUGGCGCAUAUAUCAACGAUUUUAAGGGUUUGGUUUCUAACCUGACUCUCAGUUCCAAUAUCCUCACGGACUGGACGAUCUUUCCACUGGACACUGAGGAUGCAGUGCGCAGCCACCUGGGGGGCUGGGGACACUGUGACAGUGGCCACCAUGAUGAAGCCUGGGCCCACAACUCAUCCAACUACACGCUCCCGGCCUUUUAUAUGGGGAACUUCUCCAUUCCCAGUGGGAUCCCAGACUUGCCCCAGGACACCUUUAUCCAGUUUCCUGGAUGGACCAAGGUGUCCCUUGCCCUUCAGCCCACUGGCCCUGACCUUUGUUAGAAGUGGAUGCCCAGCAGCUUUCUGGUUGUCUGUGAAUGCCCGGUGAAGAUUCUGAACUGAUUCCUCACCAGACAGUUGCUCUGUUUGCACCACAAGGGGCUUUCCCACGUGUGAGCAGGCCUCCCACCAGCUUCAUUCCUCCAAACUCCCAAACCAGCAGCACUGUCUCCUAAGAUACAACAGGACAGGCUUUGAGGACAGAAACCCAGGGUCACGUUCCUGCUCCAUCACUUUCCAUCAGCAUGGUCUCGGGCAAGGGAAUCGUAAGCAGGUAACUGAUCAUCUGGAAACCUGGGGGACAAGAGGGAAGAAAUGACACCUAGGAUGCUCCAUCCUUUCCCUGCAUCCCUUUGUGUUCAGUUCAACAACCUGGUUCUCCUCCUGACCAGCCACUGUGCUUGGCUGAGGACACAAAGGUGAAGGAGACAGUCUAGUAUAAAACAUGACACAGACCAGACCCAAAGGGGAGGAAGAGCUCCUGUAGAAAAGGUGAAGGGGCAUCAUUCACCAAACCUCUCCAGCAUUAACCAGAGACUGCUGGAGGGCAGCGUGAGCCUAUGGAAAAGACUCGACAUCCAGGGUUUGGACUUAAAGGCCCCGGUGUGGACUUCUUCAGUGCUCUGAUUCCUUGAAGAUUCUGUUGGCUUGUUCUCAAAACGUAAGCAACUUUCCAGUGCCAACAUAUUGAAUUCCUUGCCCACAGGGCAUUUCUCAUCAUCAUGGGUUGCCAUGUGUGCUGUUGUCUGUUGCUGCAUAAUAAACCAGUAAGUCUGCUUAAGUGGCAUGAAGCAACUAUUUUGUUAUGCACACGAUUCUAUGGAUCAGGAAUUUGGACAGCCCAGCAAGGAUGGCUUGUCUUUGUUCUGUGACGCUGGGGCUUCUGCUGGGUACCAGAACCAUCUGGCAAUUCCUUCACUCACUUGCCUGCUAUUUGGGCCAGGAUGACUUGAAGUUUAAGGCCACUUAGGACAGUCAACAGAGCAUCUACAAGUGGUCUUUCCAUGUGACUCGGGCUUCUUAUAACACAGUAGCUGGGUUCUGAUGGCAUGUUCCAGAAGGGAGCUUCCAGAGAGUGAACAUUGCAACAGAAGCCGGUGGAAGCUGCAUGGCCGUUUAAGGCCUAGAUGCAGAAGUCACAUAGCAUCAGUCCACUGUACUCUACUGGUCAAAGUAGUCAUAACCCAGAUUCAAGGGGAGGAAACACAGAUCCCCAUCCUUGGAUGGGAGAAAUGACAAAGAAUGUGUGGCCAUUUGUAAGAAAUCAUCACAUGUGCACCCAGUGCUAUGUUGUAGCACACUCCAAUUUGUGUAUUUCCGUCCAUUCCACUAAAGGUCUGAAAGCCCAGCAAGCAUGAAUUGAGGUCCAAGGCCCCACUGGUAAGGAGCAGGAGGCCAUUGGCUAAGUGGUUCAUUUAGCCUGUGUUUAGUGAAUUGGAUCCCUUUGUCUCUUUUGCAAAUUGCCAGGCCCCCAGUGGUCUCACCAGAUAUUAACUGAAGGGAAUUAACUGGACACAGGCAGGAAAUCCACUGUGUGAACCCCCCACCAGUCAGAGUUUAUGGAGGUAUGAGAUGAUGGGCACUGCACACAAAGCUCAGUGUGGUUUCUGUUUCUUUGGGUGAAAUCUUUUGAUAUGAUUUCUGAUCAAGAGGUGCAGUCUGUCCAAUUUACUUCAACUUUCUUUAAUUUUUACUAAGCAAUACGAUUAUUAUUAUUAUUAUUAUUAUUAUUUUUAGACAGAGUCUCACUCUGUCGCCCAGGCUGGAGUGCAGUGGCGUGAUCUCUGCUCACUGCAAGCUCCACCUCCCGGGUUCACGCCAUUCUCCUGCCUCAGCCUCCCGAGUAGCUGGGACUACAGGCGCCCGCCACCACGCCCAGCUAAUUUUUUGUAUUUUUUAGUAGAGACGGGGUUUCACCGUGUUAGCCAGGAUGGUCUUGAUCUCCUGACCUCGUGAUCUGCCCGCCUUGGCCUUCCAAAGUGCUGGGAUUACAGGCGUGAGCCACCACGCCCGACUGCAAUAGGAUCUUUUUACCAGAGUGCUUUGGCUGUCGUGGACCACCUGACCUCUUUUCUGGGGACUUUGAAAUCAGGAAGUGUCCCAAGAAGUGCCCAGUGAGGAGUCCCCAAGGUUUCAGGGUGUAUCCUUCUAGUGUGAUGGAUAAGCCCCUCAGCAUUUAACUAUUUUAGUAGGUGGGUUUGUUUUGUUUUGUUUUUUUCAUUUACCCAAUAGACAUUCAUUCAGUACUUACUCUAAACCCCAUGCCACUGUGUAGGACACAUUUCUUGCCCCUCAGGGAGCGCACAGAUCUAUUAAUGAACCAUGUAGCAUUGUGAGGGGUAGACAAUGACAGCGAUGAGAUCAGAGUGCUGUGAGCAUGCUGAAUCCAGUCUUAGACUUGAUGUGGAACAGAGACUGGUCAGGGCAGGCUUCCUGGAGUUGAGCCAGGUGAAGAAUAAGAGAAGAAGGAGAAAAGAUAGGCAUGAGUAGAGCAGAAAGUGCUUCUCAGAGGGAGGCAGCAUCUGCAGAGAUCCAGGGUCUGGAGAGACGACGGAGAAUUCCAGAAAUUGGUGGCAUGUACCUCAAUCUGACUGGGGUUGGAAUGAACAGAGAUGAGGCAGGAGAGAUGCAGGGAUCAGAGCUAUCUCCAACCAGAUGGUAGUAUCCUGAAAAAUUGGCUAUUUUCACAUAUCUUUUGUCCUCUGAAGUUUCUAGGUUCAUGUCUUCAACUUUGAUGGUGCUUAAUAAGAAUAAUAACAUUCAUAAAGUGGU